rnacentral:lncRNA from 1 species
GUGGUUCUUUUCUGUGUUUUGCGGAAGAGCAAAGCAGAGCAAAACAUGACAAAAGACUGAUAAGUAGAACAUUUUGGUUCCACUGAAAGGGGUGGAACCAUUGAGAACAAAACAGUACAGUUGGUGCUUUCAUGUUCAUCAUAUUCUGCCUGAACCAAAUGCUACCUUAUUAUUCCUAGUGGUUCAUCAAUUCACUGGUCAUCAUGAAUUAUGUAGGGCUUUAAUAGUAGUUUUAAUAUUCCCCAUGAUUCAUGAAGUGUUGAAUCUUCUGUCCUUUCCUUUGCUCAUUUGUUUUGAUAGAAG